UGCAGGGAAAUAAUUUUGUUACAGCAUCAAUGCUGAUUUUGGUGCUUCCUAUGCUUGCUGAUUUUGAUGCUUCCUUUGCUUGCUGAUUUUGAUGCUAGUUAUCCUUAUCCUGAUCCUGGUUUGAUCCUUAUCCUGAUGCUGGUUUGAAACUAGGUCAAUGCUAGUAAUGCUACCGGAAGUAGGAUUAUCCUGCCGGAAGUGGAUAAUUCAAAAACAGCAUCGCUAUUUUAAGCCAUUAAAAAUAAUUUUGGGGGUAAUUUUUAUUUAUAAUUUGUAUUAAAUGACUUUCCUUUAUCUGUUUUCACUUUUUACCGAAAAAAUUAGCGAUUUUUAACGAAUUUCGUUUUGUCGUAUUGCAAUCGUAAAGAAACAAAAUGGCGACAUAGUGGAAGUUGGAAGUAAAUCUUCAUCUUGCGAAGUUAUCGUUACAUAGUUAUUUGAUAUUGAUUGCAGCUAAAAUGCGAUGAUUUAUCCUUUUUGUGAUGCGAUUUCAGUAGGUGGAAUAGCCCUUUUGUGUGCAACGUGUAAGCAUGGAAACGUGAUGGACAAUGAACAUUAUGAAGUUUAUGUCAAAUCCAGAUGAAAAUUUAUUGCGUGUCCUGUGAACAUUUUAGCGAAAAUAUUAUGCUUUAGCCUAAAUGGAAACGUCGUAAUCCAAGGAACCAAUAGAUCAUCAGUACAGUCACUACAACCACUCAGAGGGUCCAUGACAGAGUAAACAAAGCAGAAAUUCCUCAAGGAUUAAAGUAUGCUGGUCUUCUCUUUGGACCUAAAUCCAGCUGAUGAAAUUCUAUCUGUUAAAAUAGUGAAAAUUCAAGCCAGGGACUUCUGUUAAUCAGACAGUGGCAUUAAAACCGUUGUGAUGAUGUGCGCCAAAUCCAUUGAUGACAUACAUAUAUACAUUUUAAAGUUAUCUCCCACUUAGAUCUAAAAUGAAAUGGACAGAAUUUAAAGUUUAAAGUGGAUUUCAAGUGAUUUGUGUAUUGUACAUAAUUAGAUAUGAGAUGUAUGUAAAUAGAAAUGCAU